CAAGAAAUAGCAUAAGAAGUGUGUUUUGUUUACACCAAAAAGGUGGGUUGAUCCUUUCUUGU
rnacentral:tRNA from 2 species